GUAGGUGGCAAGCGUUGUCCGGAAUUAUUGGGCGUAAAGCGCGCGCAGGCGGUUCUUUAAGUCUGAUGUGAAACGCCCACGGCUCAACCGUGGAGGGUCAUUGGAAACUGGAGAACUUGAGUACAGAAGAGGAAAGCGGAAUUCCACGUGUAGCGGUGAAAUGCGUAGAGAUGUGGAGGAACACCAGUGGCGAAGGCGGCUUUCCGGUCUGUAACUGACGCUGAGGCGCGAAAGCGUGGGGAGCAAACAGGGAUUAGAUACCCUGGUAGUCCACGCCGUAAACGAUGAGUGCUAAGUGUUAGGGGGUUUCCCGCCCCCUUAGUGCUGCAGCUAACGCAUUAAACACUCCGCCUGGGGAGUACGGCCGCAAGGCUG
rnacentral:rRNA from 1 species